GAAGCUCUUGGUGAGCGGACCCGCGGACCAUGCCCGGCCGGACCACCCAGAGGAACGGCACGCAACUGCCGGCGAUGCCCCACGCCGUCUCCUCCAGGUCCCGCGGGCUCAUGCAGGCCAGGCUGCCGAAGCUCACGUAGAGCACCGACGCCGGCGGCCACGCGUCUAGCCACUCCAGGCAGCUCCGGUCCUGGCGCAGCAGGCUGCUUUCGCCGGCGGGGGAGAACUUGUGCAGCGGGCCGAUGUCGAACACCGGCACGGCGAGGUCCUGCCGGAGGCCCUCCAGCUCGCGGCGCUCGAGCGCGUCGAACGUGUUGAGUAUGAGGCCCGACGAGCCCUUCACCGCCGCCACGGCGCGCGCCAUCAUCUCGCACAGCACCUCGUGGCCGUCCUUGCCGAUGUCCAUCAGGUCGCGCACUCGGUACGGUGGCAGCUCCACCACCGGCGUGUCGAGCUGUGAAUCUGCAGGGACGAAACACGAGCACGUUGAUCCAUGGAUCACGUGGGCAUGAACUUGGUAGGCUACAAACAAGUACUUGAAGAGGAGGGCGUGCCUUGCACGGGGAGGUAGCCUUUCUCGCAUAGCAUCGGGUAGGCGGUGAAGCACGCGAAGGAGACCGCGCUGCUGGUGCGCAGCGCCAGCGUGGGUACGCCGAGGCAAUUGGCCGCCUGGAAAAUCGGCAGCAGGUGCGCAUCGGCGACGAGGCACGCGACGGCGUCCCUGGAGUACUCCUCCAGGACGGCGGCGAGGAGGUCCCGGAAGGCGGCCUCGCACGCGCCACCGAUCGAGACGAUAUGCGCUACGACGUCCUCGAUGGCGACCGGGUCGGGGCCGGACACGACGUCGGGGACGGGGACGAAGCGGUAGUGCGGGUGGCGCGCCGGGUCCGGGGCGUUGAAGUGGGUGUGGAAGACGGUUACGGCGAAGCCGCGCGCGUGGAGGACGCCGGCGAGCCGGAACAUGGGGUUGAUGUGGCCCUGGUACGGGAGCGGGAACAGGAGCACGUGCCGGUGGCGCCCACCGUGGUUGGCGUUGCUCUCUGCGGCCAUGGUUGGCGCCGGUGGUGGCGUCAUCGCUUUGCUGAGUGUGAGCUGUGCCGUGUGAACUGUGAAGGCAAGUAUGGGGGAGAAACGGUAGCCAGUAGGAGGAGAGUACACUGGUACGGGCAGGGCGAGAUCAGCGGGACCCAGCAACAACCUACGGCCAGUUUGUCCUUGACGGCCAGUGAACGCUGCUGCUCUGUUCUCUGCUCGUACAACCUACGGGGUUGUCAGUGGUUGUGUUUGCAACCAAUAUUUUUUUUUAAACUUAUUUGCAACAACAUAUAAUGUUAGUUUUAAUCCAUAGUAAACAUGCUUGGCUAUAUUAUAUACUACAAUAUCGGAUAUACAUCGUAAUUCAAUGUUGGUUCCUUCUUGCUCAGUCAACCGGGGGAAAGUGGGUGGAAAAACCCUUUUGCAUACAAAAUACCAUAGGAGGGGAUUAAAACUUGUGGUAAUGCACAUAUGGGUAUUUUGGUCUUUUCCUAUCAAAUUUAACACGGUAGUGACAUAGAAGGUAUAAAACUUGGAGGUGGUGUCAAAUAAGGAACAUUAAAAUUUUAGAUGUCAUGUAGGGAAUUGGUCUAUCUUCUAAUAUCUUAAGUCUGAGUAAGACACCCCUUCUAAUAACUCAAAAAACGAGAGAGUAUUUUUGUUGCGACGUGAAACACGCAGGCUGAUUCUGACGGAUAUCGUUCGGUCGUGGGCUGAUCGAGUUGCCUCUUGUGUCUUUUUUUUUCUUUCUUUUUUUGCGAGCGAGCGCGUGUGUGUUUUGAAGAACUUUUUGCGCGUGUGUUGGGUUACCAAACGAGCUGCCUGCCGGUGCCGUCACCCAUCGGGGCAUGCCGACCAUGACGCGAUCGGCAGGCGUAUCACUAUUCUAUUUCGCGGAACGGCAGAUGAUUCCAUGAAGGAUAAGAACAUGAUCUCGAUUCCCGAUCACCUGUCGGGCUGUCACUCCACGGAUCAUGUGCCUGCGCGGAUGCGCCUGUGUCUCGUGCUGACUUUGUUUUGUCGCCCCCUCCUGACAGCGCAUCUUUGCCAUUGUUUAAGUGUAAUCUUCCAAACAUACCGAUUAGCCAUGGCCGGCAAGGAAAUAUCUUAACAAUUUAGUAAGAUGUUUAAAAAAGAUAAAUUCUUCCAUUUUAAAAUGCCUUAAGUCCGGAAUUUGCACCGCCAGGGACUGAGGUGUCCCCAUAACACACCAACCACAAAUUAUAAAUUGUAGGUUCCAAAAUAAUAUGAAAACUUGAAAAGUAGAGCCUACUUAGUCGAGCCACAUACUCCAUCCGUUCUAAAUUGUAAGUCGUUUUGAUCUUUUUAGAUUCGUAGAUAUUAUUAUGCAUCUAGACAUACGCUAUAUUUAAAUGCAUAGCAAACUAUGCACCUAUAAAAUUAAAACAACCUGCAAUUUGGAAUGGAGGGAGUAUUUUAGUUUUAGAUGAUUGUGUGCUGAUGAACUUGUCAUUCAUCCGACUGUCGAGUUAUACUCGUUGCGCAACAUAUUUUGAAGAAAUUAAAUCAUUUUUUUCAGAAAUUCGACUAGAGAUGACUUCUAUACUAAAAUUUCAGUUUUUGAAUGGGAUGAUUGUUUUUAAAUUUUGUGACUGAUGGUUUUAAAUUUCUUGCGUUUGGUGACAUUUGAAUGCCGAAAUCCAUGAUUCGGAACAAAUAAAAUCUGACUGACAGACUGACAACACACCAAGCUAAGUUUCAAGUAAAUUUCACACUCAGGCCUUGUUUAGUUGCCCGAUUUUGGACAACCAAAAUCACUGCGCUAGCACUGUAGCAUACUGUAGCGUUUCGUUUGUAUUUGUGAAUUAUUGUCCAAAUAUUGACUAAUUAGGCUCAAAAGAUUCGUCUCGCAAAGUACAACCAAACCGAACAAUUAGUUUUUGAUUUCGUCUACAUUCAGUACUCCAUGUAUGUACCGUAAGUUUGAUGUGAUGGGGAAUCUUCUUUUUGCAUAGUGCUAAAGUUGGGAUUUUGGGGUAACUAAACAAGGCCUGAACUCUGAGACAGUUUAUACUAUUUAUGUUAAGUGAAAACUUUUAAGCUUCGAGCAGAGUUCAGGCAUUAAAAACACAAACUAUGCACUUCGCCAAAAGUACUACUUCUACAGGCUACAGAGACAUCAUAUGCGUGACAAGCUUAUCAAUGGCAAGGCACGACGACCCGCCCUUGCCGGUGCACUCCGCUGACGCCUUCUUCAGCUCGCCGGCCCUCGUUCUCAUCCCGGCACCGUCGCUCUCAGUCAUGAGACGCCGGAUUGCUGCCUCCACGCUUCCCCUCUCGAGCUCGCCGGACACCUCGAAGCCCACCUCCCACACGUGCUCCACGUACCUCGCGUUCCCCAUCUGGUCGGCGAAGUAGGGGCGGCACAGCAUCGGCACCCCCUCGCAGAUGCUCUCCGUCGUCGAGUUCCAGCCGUUGUGCGUCCAGAACCCGCCCACGGCGCGGUGGCGCAGCACCUCCUCCUGCGGCGCCCACCCCACCACCAUGCCGCGCCCGCGCGUCGCGGCCUCAAACCUCUCCGGCAAAUGGUUCUCCGCGCAGCCGCCGACAAAGCCCGGCCGGACCACCCAGAGGAACGGCACGCAACUGCCGGCGAUGCCCCACGCCGUCUCCUCCAGGUCCCGCGGGCUCAUGCAGGCCAGGCUGCCGAAGCUCACGUAGAGCACCGACGCCGGCGGCCACGCGUCUAGCCACUCCAGGCAGCUCCGGUCCUGGCGCAGCAGGCUGCUUUCGCCGGCGGGGGAGAACUUGUGCAGCGGGCCGAUGUCGAACACCGGCACGGCGAGGUCCUGCCGGAGGCCCUCCAGCUCGCGGCGCUCGAGCGCGUCGAACGUGUUGAGUAUGAGGCCCGACGAGGCCUUCACCGCCGCCACGGCGCCCGCUAUCAUCUCGCACAGCACCUCGUGGCCGUCCUUGCCGAUGCCCAUCAGGUCGCGCACUCGGCAUGGCGGCAGCUCCACCACCGGCGUGUCGAGCUGUGAAUCUGCAGGGACGAAACACGAACACGUUGAUCCAUGGAUCACGUGGGCAUGAACUUGGUAGGCUACAAACAAGUACUUGAAGAGGAGGGCAUGCCUUGCACGGGGAGGUAGCCUUUCUCGCAUAGCAUCGGGUAGGCGGUGAAGCACGCGAAGGAGACCGCGCUGCCGGUGCGCAGCGCCAGCGUGGGUACGCCGAGGCAAUUGGCCGCCUGGAAAAUCGGCAGCAGGUGCGUGUCGGCGACGAGGCACGUGACGGCGUCCCUGGAGUACUCCUCCAGGACGGCGGCGAGGCGGUCCCGGAAGGCGGCCUCGCACGCGCCGCCGAUCGAGACGAUAUGCGCUACGACGUCCUCGAUGGCGACGGGCGCGGGGCCGGACAUGCCGUCGGGGACGGGGACGAAGCGGUAGUGCGGGUGGCUCGCCGGGUCCGGGGCGUUGAAGUGGGUGUGGAAGACGGUUACGGCGAAGCCGCGGGCGUGGAGGACGCCGGCGAGCCGGAACAUGGGGUUGAUGUGGCCCUGGUACGGGAGCGGGAACAGGAGCACGUGCCGGUGGCGCCCGCCGUGGUUGGCGUUGCUCUCUGCGGCCAUGGUUGGCGCCGGUGGUGGUGUCAUCGCUUUGCUGAGCGUGAGCUGUGCCGUGUGAACUGUGAAGGCAAGGAUGGGGGAGAAACGGUAGCCAGUAGGAGGUUAGUACACUGGUACGGGCAGGGCGAGAUCAGCGGGACCCAGCAACAACCUUCGGGGUUGUGACUUGUGAGUGGCUGUUUGUCCUUGACGGCCAGUGAACGCUGCUGCUCUGUUCUGCUCGUACAACCUACGGGGUUGUCAGUGGCUGUUAUGUGUUUGCAACCACUUUUUUUUUAACUUAUUUGCAACCACGUAUAAUGUUGGUUUUAUUCCAUCGUAAACAUGCUUGGCCGUAUUAUAUACUACAAUAUUGGAUAUACAUCGUAACUCAACGUUGGUUCCUUAUUGCUCAGUCAAUCAGGAAAGUGGGUGGAAAAAUCCUUUUGCAUACAAAAUGCCAUAGGAGGAGAUUAAAACUUGUGGUAAUGCACAUAUGGGUAUUUUUGUCUUUUCCUAUCAAAUUGUGUCAUAGAAGGUAUAAAACUUGGAGGCGGUGUCAAAUAAGAAAUAUUAAAAUUAGAUGUUAUAUAGAAAAUUGGUCUAUCUUCUAGUGUCACGCAGGGAAUUUUCUCUAGUUAAACACGUCCCUUCUAAUAAUUCCAAAACGAGAGAGAGUAUUUUUGUUGUGACGUGAAACACGCAGGCUGAUUCUGACGGAUAUCGUUCGGUCGGAAAAAAAAUUAGACGCAGGACUCCUGCAACCGAGUCUUGGUGCAGGACGGCCUCAAAUCACGACGCGUGGGCAGCCUUCCCGAUCGAACGCCCGCACCCCUCGCGCGGAAGACGAGCCAUCGCUGAAGAAGAAAAAAAUAGACGAGCCAGGAAGACGAGCCCCUCGCGCGCGUGCCUCUCAAGCCGGCGGAAGAUGAGCCGGCGCUUAGCAGGGCUUCUCUGCGCCUGCAGGAGCUCCUCUCGCCUCAUGGCUCCAGAACGAAGGGCUACAAAAUCUGUUGCCACAGCUUCUUUAAUUCGUUUCACAAACAAAAUCCGGGAUAUUUCAUAAUCUGAAAAAGUUUAAAUCUAAAGAGUGGUAUGUGGAAGUGAUGUGUACAAAAGAAUGACAGGUCUAUGAAGUGUGAUGUGAUCCUUAUCAAACAAUAUAAAUGAGUUACAUGGUACCAACUCACAUAAUACAAAUCCAAAUAAAAUUAUGUGUAACACAACAAAGGUUACAUGCUUUCUUGAUUUGGCAUUCCACCAAAAUUUAAUUUUUUAACAGCCGGCUGUAAUGUGGCAGCUCGAUCAACUCCAAGUAAGAGAUUUGUAUAUCCUCCUUGCACAUAAGGAGCACCCACAGUUGAAGAAUCUCUGUACAUAUUAAAUUGUGGCAUUAUGGUAUUAGCAUAGCCACCUUGGAUCAAUGGAGCAGCCAUGGACGAAGAUUGUCCAUACACAUCAUUUGCAAAGUUUGGCAUCAUACUGUUAACAUCCUUUUCACCAUCAUUAAGAUCCUGUACCAAAUCAAAUAUGAAAAGUGGAUAUAGUCCAACACAUAUGACUUACGAUAAAUAGUUGCAUACGAGGAAUUCAAAUAUGAAAAGUGGAUAUAGUCCAACACAUAUGACUUACGAUAAAUUGAUCUAGAUUAGCACCUUCAUAUACUUCGGAUCUAUUUUCUACUGCAGUUAUUGAAUGUUGUCCUAUAUUCAAACAUAUCAAGUUAACUAUACUGGCAUAUAAUAGAUAAAAACAUGUAGAAUUGAUAUGAGUAAUACCUUUCUUUUUACCACUUUUCUUUUUUUCCUUUUAUUCUUUUCAAGGGAGAUGGUCCCUCGUUUACUCUUUGGACCUUUUAUCAUCCGAGGAAUUCUAAAUGAUAUUUUACCUCUCAAUGUGUUUGUAACACAGUUUGUUGAAACUAGAGGGACCUCACUGGCUUUUUGUUGCAUCCUGCUUAGAGAAUUAUCUGCUUCCAAGUCCAACUUAUCUAUGGCAUUCUCCAAAUCAACAAGAAGUUCCUUGGACAAUGAACACUUCAAUGCAAUGGAUGUCGCCUUUCGUGCAAUACGUGCAGCAUGCGUUUUCAAGCUUUCCUUUUCAAAUCCUUAUUUCUCAAUAUAGAAUCCUCUCUUUGCAUAUUUUGUCCAUCUAUUCAAUAUGUAUUGAGAUGGCAACAAGAAAAUAUCGUUUGCAUUGAAGACUUUGAGGGCAAGCUUGCACAGUAAACCUAUAUGUGGAUAUCAUAUUUCAUUACUUUCUAUUAUAAACUAUACUAUUGCAAUAAAGAUUUUUGUACGUACCUAUGGAUUCGUAUUUUCUGCAAGCACAUGUAAUGGUACUAUCUGCUUUGUUGAACACAACCGUUGCUCCAUAAUCAGAGUACAUAUGUGUAACCGUAUAUGUCAAAAUCGACCCCUCAGUGUGUAACACCUUAUGAGAGAAUGAAAAUUGUUCAUUAAAUUCUUCUUGAAACUCUUUAUACAUCCGGCUUGUAUAUGACUCGACCACAGUCUUCAAAAGAGGUAUGUGUGCAACUGGACUCUUUCGACGUGAUUGAAAAUCUUCAUCCAACUCGUUAUUACGAAGACUAGCAGAAACCUUGUCACAUUCUUCAAAUAGUUCCGAAAUACCCAAUUUCCUACGAAACCUUUUCUUGAAUACGUUAUUCAUACCUUCGCUUCUUUGAGUGGAGUUCAUAUCAGCUGUAAAUGAGUCAUGGUAUACAGCAGCCCACUUUAUCCUCUAAUCAUAUAGGUUUAACAUCCAUUCAUUAUCCUUAAGGUUGUACUCACACAACAAUUCAUCCCACUUCUUGUUAAAGUAAAACUCAGAUCUAUCUUCAUAGACACAUCCCUUAAAAUCAGGAAGAAAAUUCUCUGGAUGCUGCUCGAUUACGUGACCGAGAUGUUUAGCAGCAUUUAGAUAAAUAUGCCACAAACAAAGACGGUGGCUUGUGUUUGGGAAUACAUAAGCAAUUGCACCUGCCAUGGCCGCAUCUUGAUCACUGAAAAUUGUGCUGGGAUGCUUACCUGACAUUGCUGUUAAAAAGGUUUCAAAUAGCCAAACAAAUGAUUCAAUAGUCUCAUUAAACAAUAAUGCAGCCCCAAAAAUUAUAGUCUGCUUGUGAUGGUUGGUUCCCAGGAGCGGAGCAAAAGGUAUUUCAAACUUAUUAGUCUGAAACAUGGUGUCAAAAGACACGGCAUCACCAAAACAUGUGUAAUCCAUGAUAGAUUGACCGUCCGCCCAAAAGAAGUUAGCCAUCCUGCCAUCUUCUUCAUCUAUUUGAAUGGCAUAAAAAAAUGUUGGAUCCUCUAUCUGCUUAUUUUUUAAGUAUUCCAACAAUGUUUAUGCGUCAUUGGAUUCUAAGUAUUUUCUGCGCUGCCGACCAAUCUCAUUGUUACAAUCAAUCCGUGAGAAUAGCACUUUGUCAGCUCCUCCAUAAAAUUGCACCAUAAACUCAAACACUUGGGCUGGCUUCAUCCCGCCCUCCCUCAUGUGGCCAAUUAGCUUCUUGUCCGCUUCCUGAACACGUCGUUGGGACCUAAGCUUCUGUCUUUUAUUUGGACUUGCAAGGUAAUGGUUGUGAUCAAGCACAACCUUCUGCACUGAUCAAACCCCCUCCUUGUAGUGUCCUUUGAUGACUCAAUUUGUCUAUGACCUUGACUACUGCAAACCAUAUAUUUGAGAUAGAUACUGCCAUCUCUUCGACACUUUGUGUCGCUCUUUCUAAUACUGAACCCAACCUUGCCUGCAUAGGUGUUGUACAUAUCAUAAGCUUCCUCCUCGGAUUGAAAAGACAUUCCAACUUCAGGAACGAUGAAAUAAUUUUCCGCAACCUUGCCUGCAUAGGUGUUGUACAUACCAUAAGCUUCCUCCUCGGAUUGAAAAGACAUUCCAACUUCAGGAACGAUGAAAUAAUUUUCCGCAACUUCAUCAACUACGUGUUGUACAAUAAGUCAAGAAUUAAAGGUGCCUUACAACAAUACAUACUAUUAUACUAUCACUUCAAUUUGUUAUUCACGUGCCUUCAAUUACCUCAUCCGACCCCUGAUCACCGUUACUAUCGCUUGCUCCGUCGCUGCUGCCCAGCAGGGCAUGCUCCAACGACUCCACCUCCAGACCUGAUGGUGCCAUAUGGAUCGCAGGGUCGCCGCCACUUGAUUCUGUACGCGCGACAGCUCAAACACUAGGCGGCGAUAAUACGAAAGACAAGAGCUCCUGCAUGUGGUGACUCCGUGAGUAGAAAAUGAUUCCACGAAGGAUAAGAACAUGAUCUCGAUUCCCGAUCACCUGUCGGGCUGUCACUCCACGGAUCAUGUGCAUGCGCGGAUGCGCAUGUGUCUCGUGCUGACUUUGUUUUGUCGCCCCCUACUGAUAGCGCAUCUUUGCCGUUGUUUAAGGAAAUAUCUUAACAAUUUAAUAAGAUGUUUAAAAAAGAUAAAUUCUUCCAUUUUAAAAUGCCUUAAGUCCGGAAUUUGCACCGCCAGUGACUGAGGUGUCCCCAUAACACACCAACCACAAAUUCUAAAUUGUAGGUUCCGCAAUCAUCCCUUCAAAAUAAUAUGAAAACUUGAAAAGUAGAGCCCACUUAGUCGAGCCACAUACUCCAUCCGUUCUAAAUUGUAAGUCAUUUUGAUCUUUUUAGAUUCGUAGAUAUUAUUAUGCAUCUAGACAGACACUAUAUUUAAAUGCAUAGCAAACUAUGCACCUAUAACUGUCAAAACGACUUGCAAUUUGAAAUGGUGGGAGUAUUUUAGUUUUAGAUUACUGCGUACUGAUGAACUUGUCAUUCAUCCGACGGGGUCGAGUUAUACUCGUUGCGCAACAUAUUUUGAAGAAAUUAAAUCAUUUUUUUUUCAAAAAUUCGAAUAGAGAUGACUUCUAUACUAAAAUUUCAGUUUUCGAAUGGGAUGAUUGUUUUUAAAUUUUGUGACUGAUGGUUUUAAAUUUCUUGCGUUUGGUGACAUUUGAAUGCUGAAAUCCAUGAUUCGGAACAAAUAAAAUCUGACUGACAGACUGACAACGCACCAAGCUAGGGUAGGGUGUUUGGAUACUUAGGUGCUAAACUUUAGCAGUAUCACAUCGAAUGUUCGGUUGCUGAUUAGGAGGACUAAAUAUGAGCUAAUUAUAAAACUAAUUGCAGAAUUCCUAGGCUAAUUCGCGAGACGAAUCUAUUAAACCUAAUUAAUUCAUCAUUAGCAAAAUGGUUACUGUAGCAUCACAUUGUCAAAUCAUGGACUAAUUAGACUUAAUAGAUUCGUCUCGCGAAUUAGACUCCAUCUGUACAAUUCGUUUUGUAAUUAGACUAUAUUUAAUACUUCUAAUUAGUAUCCAAACAUCCGAUGUGACAGGUGCUAAACUUUAGCGGGUGGUAUGCAAACUUAAGUUUGAGGCAAAUUUCACCCUGAACUCUGAGACAGUUUAUACUAUUUAUGUCAAGUGAAAACUUUUAAGCUUCGAGCAGAGUUCAGACAUUAAAAACACAAAUUAUGCACUUCGCCACAAGUACUACUUCUACAGACUACAGAGACAUCAUAUGCGUGACAAGCUUAUCAAUGGCAAGGCACGACGACCCGCCCUUGCCGGUGCACUCCGCUGACGCCUUCUUCAGCUCGCCGGCCCUCUUCCUCAUCCCGGCACCGUCGCUCUCAGUCAUGAGCCGCCGGAUUGCUUCCUCCACGCUUCCCCUCUCGAGCUCGCCGGACACCUCGAAGCCCACCUCCCACACGUGCUCCACGUACCUCGCGUUCCCCAUCUGGUCGCCGAAGUAGGGGCGGCACAGCAUCGGCACCCCCUCGCAGAUGCUCUCCGUCGUCGAGUUCCAACCGUUGUGCGUCCAGAACCCGCCCACGGCGCGGUGGCGCAGCACCUCCUCCUGCGGCGCCCACCCCACCACCAUGCCGCGCCCGCGCGUGGCGGCCUCAAACCUCUCCGGCAAAUGGUUCUCCGCGCAGCCGCCGACAAGGCCCGGCCGGACCACCCAGAGGAACGGCACGCCGCUGCCGGCGAUGCCCCAUGCUGUCUCCUCCAGGUCCCGCGGGCUCAUGCAGGCCAGGCUGCCGAAGCUCACGUAGAGCACCGACGCCGGCGGCCACGCGUCUAGCCACUCCAGGCAGCUCCGGUCCUGGCACAGCAGGCUGCUGUCGCUGGCGGGGUAGAACUUGUGCAGCGGGCCGAUGUCGAACACCGGCACGGCGAGGUCCUGCCGGAGGCCCUCCAGCUCGCGGCGCUCGAGCGCGUCGAACGUAUUGAGUAUGAGGGCCGACGAGGCCUUCACCGCCGCCACGGCGCGCGCCAUCAUCUCGCACUCCACCUCGUGGCCGUCCUUGCCGAUGUGGAUC
rnacentral:lncRNA from 1 species